CUAGUUGGUGGGGUAAAGGCCUACCAAGGCAUCGAUCAGUAGCUGGUCUGAGAGGACGACCAGCCACACUGGAACUGAGACACGGUCCAGACUCCUACGGGAGGCAGCAGUGGGGAAUUUUGGACAAUGGGCGCAAGCCUGAUCCAGCAAUGCCGCGUGAGUGAAGAAGGCCUUCGGGUUGUAAAGCUCUUUUGUCAGGGAAGAAACGGUGUGGGCUAAUAUCCCGCACUAAUGACGGUACCUGAAGAAUAAGCACCGGCUAACUACGUGCCAGCAGCCGCGGUAAUACGUAGGGUGCAAGCGUUAAUCGGAAUUACUGGGCGUAAAGCGUGCGCAGGCGGUUUUGUAAGUUUGUCGUGAAAGCCCCGGGCUCAACCUGGGAAUUGCGAUGAAGACUGCAAGGCUUGAAUCUGGCAGAGGGGGGUAGAAUUCCACGUGUAGCAGUGAAAUGCGUAGAGAUGUGGAGGAACACCGAUGGCGAAGGCAGCCCCCUGGGUCAAGAUUGACGCUCAUGCACGAAAGCGUGGGGAGCAAACAGGAUUAGAUACCCUGGUAGUCCACGCCCUAAACGAUGUCUACUAGUUGUCGGGUUUUAAUUAACUUGGUAACGCAGCUAACGCGUGAAGUAGACCGCCUGGGGAGUACGGUCGCAAGAUUAAAACUCAAAGGAAUUGACG
rnacentral:rRNA from 1 species